GGAGGGGUGACCGAACUGGCUAAGGAGCCGGACUUGAAAUCCGGUGUAGGCCUAUGAAGGCCGUGCGGGUUCGAGUCCCGCCCCCUCCGCCA
rnacentral:tRNA from 1 species